UACGGAGGGGGCUAGCGUUGUUCGGAAUUACUGGGCGUAAAGCGCGCGUAGGCGGACCUGCAAGUCGGGGGUGAAAGCCCGAGGCUCAACCUCGGAACUGCCUUCGAUACUGCAGGUCUCGAGUCCGGGAGAGGUGAGUGGAAUUCCUAGUGUAGAGGUGAAAUUCGUAGAUAUUAGGAAGAACACCAGUGGCGAAGGCGGCUCACUGGCCCGGUACUCGACGCUGAGGCGCGAAAGCGUGGGGAGCAAACAGG
rnacentral:rRNA from 1 species